CGGGUCCGGAAUCGCUUCUGGCCCGAAGCACUAUUAAUGGUUCCAACUCUCAACUAGCCACUGGGCAACCAAAUUUUCAUGGAGCAGCAGCCUCCGACCACAACCGGCACCACCGGCACGCCGCCGCCGCCGCCGCCGCCUUCGGCUGAGAACCUCCCUCCACCGCAGCCACAGCUAUCGCCUUCCUCCUCUUCGCUCCCGCCUCCGGCGCCCGCAGCGACUUCCUCUACUUCCACCGAAUCAAUUCCUGCGUCCCCAAACCCUAAUCCAACCCCCAAACCCUCGAUUCCACCGACUCCGCCACUCCAACAGUCCGCGCAGCCGUCGUCUUCACAGUCACAAGCCUCUCAGCCUCUUCCAAGCCCUUCACAUCCCAAGCCUCCCGUUUUAACGAGGCCUUGGCAACAGCCUCCGUCCAACCUAACGCAUUUCUCUUCUCAUCUCUCGUCGUCUACGUCUUCUUCUUCUUCACCGACAGCACCGGCAGCUGCGGUGCCUCCUCAGCGAGGAGGUAUUGCCAUUGGUGUGCCAGCGCACCACGCGAGCCCUCCUCCGCAGGCGGCUCCGUUCUCGUCUCCGUUAGGGCAACACUUUGGUGGCUUGGGUCGAGGUUCGGUUAAUGUGCCCGAUUCAAUCUCUAGUGCGAGCACUUCUCAGGUGCGUCCGUCCACGCACGGGGUGGCGGCAAUGGGAUCAAUCGGUUCGGGCUCCCAGAUGAGGCCGGGUGGUAUUCACCAACAGAGACCACUACAGUCAUCUAUUCGACCUCCGCCUUCCCCAACUAAUCAGCCCCCAUCGUCUUCUCAAAAUGUACAGGGACAUGGCCUAUUGAGAGGCUCAUCAGUUGGCUCUCCAAUUUCGCAUUCAUCGAGCACAUCACAAAGCAUGCAGUCGUCUAAUCAACCAUGGUUGUCAUCUACUUCUCAAGGAAAACCUCCUUUACCAUCCCCUUCUUAUAGACCACAGAUGAAUCCCCAGUCCUUGCAGCAACGAACGCAUGUACCUCAGCAACACCAUCCACCCUUAUCAACCAGUUCACAGCAACAGUACACAUCACCUGGCCCAUCACAACCUGCUCAAUCAAAUCAGUCACAGGAGCAACAUGGCCAGCAAUUUCCACCAUCAAGGGCUCCACAAUCUUUACCACAUCAACAGAAUUCAAGAAUUCAAGGGUCAGGUGCACAAAAACCUUCUCUUGCAACAGUGCAAGCACAACCUAUCAAGGCCCCCAUGAAUGGGAAAACAGCUGGUUUGGGAAGUGAUGAAACUUGCAACAGGAUUCUUAGUAAAAGAAGUAUCCAUGAACUAGUAAACCAGAUUGAUCCAUCAGAGAAGUUGGAACCUGAAGUGGAGGAUAUUCUUGUGGACAUUGCAGAAGAGUUUGUUGAAUCUAUCACUGCCUUUGGCUGCGCUUUAGCCAAGCAUCGCAAAUCUACCUCAUUGGAAGCUAAAGACAUACUACUACAUCUUGAAAGGAAUUGGAAUAUAACACUCCCUGGUUUCAGUGCAGAUGAGGUCAAGAGCUACCGGAAACCGGUGACAAAUGAUAUACAUAAGGAGCGGCUUGCAGUGAUAAAGAGGUCAGUUGCAGUAAGUGAAGUUGUUAAUACAAGGAAUGGGCCCGGGCAAGUGGCUAGUGGUGCCAAGGGCACUCUGACAAAGGCAGCUGCUAACAUUUUGGGGUCGCCAAACUUGAAGAGCUAAACGUACGUGAAGUUUAAUGAGGUGUUUACAGGCAAUGCCGGUAACCUGUUGUUCAGACGCCUAUUUGUUUGAUUAGAUGCAAUAGCUGUUUGCAAUGCCAUGAUGCAAAGGAACAUUUUGGUACAUAUUAUUUGUCUUGCUGAUGUGAUAAAGCAGGGUUAUGCUUGGGUGCAUCUGGGGUAUUCUAGGAAUUCUAUGGGAAUGAAAAGGGUGGAGUGGGCGGGGGUAGAUUUUCUGGAUUAUUUGGGAUUAGCUAUUGUGCCCUUCAGGAUGGGAUUGUGGUACGAUUCCCUGUACAACAAAUGGGCAACUGCGCAUCUGAUGUUAGUUUUAUUUGGUCCUAUGAAUGAUCGGAUCCAAGGACAAUAUUUUACUGUCCAGUUCAUCUGGGUGUCUGAACUGGCAGAUGGCAUUGGAACAGCAGCUUUUGAGGUUAGGAUGUUCAAUAUAAUCCCAUCAGCUUUGCCCGUUAAAGGCUAUAGUUUUCUAUUUGUCUACUUUCUGGUUCUAGGAUUUAAGUGUCAUAUCUUUUAUGAAUGCUCUCUCCUUUCAUAUGCUUAGAUUCUUUCUUCUUUUCUUUUCCUUUCUGCUUCGGCAUAUGGUGGUUGUAGUUAACCAUC